CGUAAAAAUGUUACACACACAGAAAGGAACUCUGAUAUAACAAUGGCCAUUUUUCUGACUUGGUACAGGACAUUUUUAAAGAAAAAAAAAUGGUAGGUUGAACCUGGUUUUGUGGCAUGCCAAACCUCGAACUUUAAUGGCAAUGUUAAAUAUAACAUUAAAAUGACAACAUAAUAUUACAGGACUACAAUACAAAUAAAUAGGAGAACGUAUUAGGCAAAGAAACACACGAAUAAUAGAUAACAAAAGGC
rnacentral:lncRNA from 1 species